UCUUUGACUCAGUGCAUGCUACUAUGUGAUACGUUUUCAAAGAGUCGAGUUGUUUGGGAAUGCAGCUCAAAAUGGGUGGUAAAUUUCAUCUAAAGCUAAAUAUUGGCGAGAGACCGAUAGCGAACAAGUACCGUGAGGGAAAGAUGAAAAGAACUUUGAAAAGAGAGUUAAACAGUGCGUGAAAUUGUUGAAAGGGAAACGUUUGACACCAGUUAUGCGGGUGGAAAAUCAGUCUUUUGCAAUGGGGAGUUGUGGGCGUUCAGACCGCAAGGCUGGCGUUUGCUUCAUCUUUGUUGUAAGUGAUGCACUUUUUCAUUUGCAGGUCAACAUCAGUUUGCUUUGCUGGACAAAACCCCAAGGGAAGGUGGCAGCUUAGGCUGUGUUAUAGCCCUGGGGCGAUACAGUGGAGUGGACUGAGGUUUCGCAGUGUGUGCUCUCGGGCAAGGCUGACUGGGUGCUAUGGGAUCGUUCGGCGUACAAUGCAUGCAUUUUGCGUCGUGUCUUUUUCAUACUCGCUCAACUCGGCUCUUCCA
rnacentral:rRNA from 1 species